rnacentral:rRNA from 1 species
AGCCAUGCGAAUCAUGGGGCGCGCUCUGCGCGCACCGGCGGACGGCUCAGUAACACGUCGGUAACCUACCCUCGGGAGGGGGAUAACCCCGGGAAACUGGGGCUAAUCCCCCAUAGGCCUGAGGUACUGGAAGGUCCUCAGGCCGAAAGGGUCUCUGACCGCUCGAGGAUGGGCCGGCGGCCGAUUAGGUAGUUGGUGGGGUAACGGCCCACCAAGCCGAAGAUCGGUACGGGCCAUGAGAGUGGGAGCCCGGAGAUGGACACUGAGACACGGGUCCAGGCCCUACGGGGCGCAGCAGGCGCGAAACCUCCGCAAUGCGGGCAACCGCGACGGGGGGACCCCCAGUGCCGUGGCAUCGCCACGGCUUUUCCGGAGUGUAAAAAGCUCCGGGAAUAAGGGCUGGGCAAGGCCGGUGGCAGCCGCCGCGGUAAUACCGGCGGCCCGAGUGGUGGCCGCUAUUAUUGGGCCUAAAGCGUCCGUAGCCGGGCCUGUAAGUCCCUGGCGAAAUCCCACGGCUCAACCGUGGGGCUUGCUGGGGAUACUGCAGGCCUUGGGACCGGGAGAGGCGGGGGGUACCCCUGGGGUAGGGGUGAAAUCCUAUAAUCCCAGGGGGACCGCCAGUGGCGAAGGCGCCCCGCUGGAACGGGUCCGACGGUGAGGGACGAAGGCCAGGGGAGCGAACCGGAUUAGAUACCCGGGUAGUCCUGGCUGUAAAGGAUGCGGGCUAGGUGUCGGGCGAGCUUCGAGCUCGCCCGGUGCCGAAGGGAAGCCGUUAAGCCCGCCGCCUGGGGAGUACGGCCGCAAGGCUGAAACUUAAAGAAUUGGCGGGGGAGCACUACAAGGG